rnacentral:rRNA from 1 species
GACGAACGCUGGCGGCGUGCUUAACACAUGCAAGUCACGGGGGCCCGCGAGGGCAACCGGCGAACGGGUGCGUAACACGUGAGCGACCUGCCUUUCCGCGGGGGAUAGCCGGCCCAACGGCCGGGUAAUACCGCAUACGCUGCUUUGGGGGCAUCCCUGAAGUAGGAAACCUCCGGGGCGGAGAGAGGGGCUCGCGACCUAUCAGCUAGUUGGCGAGGUAACGGCUCACCAAGGCGGCGACGGGUAGCUGGCUGAGAGGAUGGCCAGCCACAUUGGGACUGAGAGACGGCCCAGACUCCUACGGGAGGCAGCAGUGGGGAAUCUUGCGCAAUGGCCGAAAGGCUGACGCAGCGACGCCGCGUGGGGGAGGAAGGCCU